CGGGCGCCCGUCUGCAGUCUGCGUCAGCAAACCGCCUACAUCCUUUUCUACCAAAGACGGAUGUAGAGCAGUCUGGCGAUGGGGGAACAUGAUCGAUCCCAGGUGAGCGGCCACGGGAACGUCACAGGUAAGUGUGUUGUUUCCAUCUCUGUUGUCUUCUUGCAGGUGGCGAAGGGCGAUGGUGGAGGUUCAGGACAGUCUACCAGCUCGUGUCGUGGCCUGGAGCAGCAGGAGUUCCCCCAGCCCUCAGGAGGAGGGGCCGCGUUCAGAGAGCCAGGUUCCUCCCGAGGUUUCUUCCUGUUAGAGGGAGUUUUUCCUCGCCGCCGUCGCCUCUCAAUGUGGACCAGGCAGAAUCACAACUCGUCUCCAACGUCCUCAACUGGACAGAAAGUCAUCACUUUUAUUGUCAUCUGGAGAUGAGUUGGUCUGUAUUAACUUGGCUUGCUCUCUGGGAAAGACUGUGAAUAAAAACAUACUUGAAUUAAGAAUGUUUUCUGUGUAUUUUAUUUGCUUUCACUUUCAUUUGAAGUCUUUAUGGUUGAAAUGGGGCUCAGCGAACAAUAAGUUUCAUCAUUUUCUCCCAUAACAAUUGAGGUCCCAUAUUUGAACACUUACAGUUAUACGGUGUCUAUACUGUUUAUGUGCCUAUUAAACACUUCUGUAAUGGUGCUGAUUUGAUGUUCCCCUGCUUUUCUGAGGGCCUCUUUCUGUCCCUGCCAUACAAGGUCAGAUUUUGCUGCAAUGUGGAAGUAAGCAUUGCCGUCCAAAGUUAAAAUAUUUUUUCUCCUGACUCUCUUACAACCAGGUUGAUUGUGUGCGUGAGUUAGCCGUUAGCCUGCACACUACAGCUAAGUGUCCUUACUCUUCAACACAACUGCUUACAAAACUUUGUCCUGAACACAAGUUUGUUUCCACUGUCUUCCCCCACAGACAGCUCAGCCGAGACACUGCUAGUGAUGCACUCACAAUAUCUAAUCCACCUGAAUAUAAAUAUAUUAUGUAAAGUGCACAACCUUCCGUGUUCAUUUUUUUGAGUGCAGUUUGCACUUGUCUCAAUGGCUCACCUGGGAAGAAGGCAGUGAGGGGGCGGGGUUCUGCAUUUACUACCAACGACUACUGGUUAUCCGGUUUCCAAAUAGAAAUCGGAUCAAAUUCUUGCUGGCUUGUAAAGCUGGGAGGCCAUCUUGUUGUGGGGGAGCAGGGGAAAUGGCAGUAUUAAACAACUUCAUAUUUUCAAAGCUUUUAUUUUUCACCUCCUAGUUUAUGAAACAAAAUGCAAUCGAAACGCAUUUUCACGAUAUGGGACCUUUAAUGUCUGUCUUGAGAAAAAGAAAAUCCUCCACACUGCUCUUGCUCAGCAUCACAAUUUAUUGAUCAUACUAACGUUUUGGUCCCUCUGGACCUUCGCCCUGUCCGGCUGUGCUUUUCCCUUGUUUCCUCUUGUUAUCAGCUGUUCUCCCCUGCCUUGUGUUUCUUGUCAGUCCCCAGUGUGUAGUAUCUGUGUGUGUGUGUGUGUGGCUGGGCAUGGCGCUCCAAUCAUCCUCCUCCUCCUGCUGCAAUCACCUGUGCUCCAUCCAGUAAUCAGACUCCGCAGUAUAUCUACCCUCCAGUCUUCACCAGAUCGUUCAGCUCACCAGUGUGGUCUACUCAUUCAUUGCCUGCCACCUGUCCAGCUUGCCUGCCUGCCCUGCUCUCCUGUGAAACUCUGGAUCUCUCACUCACCACUUCAUCCGUCAUUCCUAAAAUAAACUUUUUGUUCAUUUCGUCA